CCCACCAUACCUGAGCUCUUGGUGGAAGAGGAUGGCGUACAAAGAUUUCAGCGGAAGAGUGACCACAGAUGAACUCUUAAAAGAAGCAACCAGAUGUCCCAUCUGCACAGUUUACUUAGAAAAGCCAAUGUCCUUGGAGUGUGAAUGUGUCUUCUGCCUCAGCUGCACCAAUUCACUGCAGAAGGAGCCCCAAGGGGAAGGUGUCUUGUGUCCCUUCUGCCUGGAGGCUUCUCAGAAAAACAACAUCAGGCUCAAUCGGCAGCUGGGGAGGCUGGUUUCGCACAUUAAGGAACUGGAGCCCAAGCUGAAAAAGAUUCUGAAGAUGAACCCAAGGAUGCGGAAGUUCCAAGUGGAGGUGACCUUGGAUGUUGACAUGGCUCACAACCUCCUCCUCAUUUCUGAAGACCUCAGGAGCGUCCGAUGUGGGAGGAUCCAUCAGAAUCGGCCAAACAGUGCUGAGAGAUUCAACUUCGCAGGUGCUGUCCUGGGCUCCCCUGGUUUCACCUCUGGCCGCCACUACUGGGAGGUGGACCUAGGAACAAGCAAAUAAUGGAAUCUGGGAGUCUGCAGAGAAUCUGCCAACCGCAAAGGGAACAUCCAAAUGACCACAGAGGAUGGAUUCUGGAUUGUGAGUUUGAUGGCUGGGGGCUUCCACUUUGCUAACACAAGCCCUCCAACACCCCUCUGGGUGAACCCCAAUUUAGAGCGAGUGGGGAUAUUUUUGGAUAGAGGCAUGGGAGACAUCUCCUUUUACCACCUUGGAGAUGGAUCCCACAUCUAUACAUUCACGAAAGUUUUUCCUGAAGAGCCACUGCGCCCAUAUUUUGCUCCUUCCACUCUCCCAGAGCAGGGUAUCCUGAGUGUCUGUCCUGUGAUAAAUCCAGGCACUGCCCAUCCUCUAGUCCAUCCUGGGGAGGGCAAAUAAACCCCCACUGCAUAGAAACAGGAUCGGGAAAUUAAAUUACUUGGUGGGUAGACCUAGGAAGUUUCUGUUGGGUAUACAUAUUUUACAAAAUCAUAGCAGAAAAAUAUAGACCAUUCCAUGAUGUAGUUAACUUCAUAGAUUCAUUAGAAUAGAAGCUGAGUUUUAAAUAUUGAUUAUUGUCACCAUCAAACGUGUUGAGUUUUGUGUUUAUAUUUUGUUUCCUAAUGAUAUGUUUUGUAUUCUUAAUUUCCAAAUGCUUUACCUUUUAUUUCUGUAAGUUCGGCUUUAUGUAUUAUGGAGUUUAUAAGUUAAAUAAAUAUUUGGCUGUAA
ensembl:lncRNA novel transcript